rnacentral:tRNA from 1 species
GUAGCUCUGCCUCAGUGGCAGAGCACAUGCUUAGCACGCAUGAGGUCCUGGGUUCAAUCCCCAGCACCUCCA